AGUGAACGCUGGCGGCAGGCCUAACACAUGCAAGUCGAGCGGCAGCGCGGGGGCAACCCUGGCGGCGAGCGGCGGACGGGUGAGGAAUUCGUCGGAAUCUGCCUUUUUGUGGGGGAUAACGUAGGGAAACUUACGCUAAUACCGCAUACGUCCUACGGGAGAAAGUGGGGGACCGCAAGGCCUCACGCAGAAAGAUGAGCCGACGACCGAUUAGCUAGUUGGUGGGGUAAAGUCCCACCAAGGCGACGAUCGGUAGCUGGUCUGAGAGGAUGAUCAGCCACACUGGGACUGAGACACGGCCCAGACUCCUACGGGAGGCAGCAGUGGGGAAUAUUGGACAAUGGGCGCAAGCCUGAUCCAGCCAUGCCGCGUGUGUGAAGAAGGCCUUCGGGUUGUAAAGCACUUUUGUCCGGAAAGAAAUCCCUGGAGCUAAUACCUUCGGGGGAUGACGGUACCGGAAGAAUAAGCACCGGCUAACUUCGUG
rnacentral:rRNA from 1 species